ACUGAGGUAAUUCUUGAGCUAAUACAUGCGAAAAAUCUCGACUCACGGAGAGAUGCUUUUAUUAGAUCAAAACCAAACGGCUUCGGCUGUUUAACUUUGAUGACUCUGAAUAACUUUGGGCUGAUUGUAUUGCCUUGUGCAGACAACGUUUCCUUCGAAGGUGUGCCCUAUCAACUGUCGACUGUGAUAUAGACGCUCACAGUGGUUUUGACGGGUAACGGGGAAUUAGGGUUCGAUUCCGGAGAGGGAGCCUUAAAAACGGCUACCACAUCCAAGGAAGGCAGCAGGCACGCAGAUUACCCAAUGGUCGAAGACCGAGGUAGUGACGAAAAAUAACAAUACAAGACUCUUCCGAGGCCUUGUAAUUGGAAUGAGUACACUUUAAAACCGUUCCCGAGGAUCUAUUGGAGGGCAAGUCUGGUGCCAGCAGCCGCGGUAAUUCCAGCUCCAAUAGCGUAUAUUAAAGUUGUUGUGGUUAAAAAGCUCGUAGUUGGAUUUCGGCGGGUAGUGGUCGGUUUGAAUUGCUUCAACACUGGCUUUUUUACCCGUGUGUUUUGCCAGAAUUUAACGGGUGAUCUUCGCCGAUUGUCCGUUAGAACUGGCAGGUUUACUUUGAAAAAAUUAGAGUGCUCAAAGCAAGCUUGAUUGCUUGAAUAUUCGUGCAUGGAAUAAUAGAAUAGGAAGUCGUUUCUAUUUUGUUGGUUUUCGGAAAUCGACUUAAUGAUUAAUAGGGAUAGUCGGGGGCAUUUGUAUUCAAACGACAGAGGUGAAAUUCUUGGACCGUUUGAAGACAAACUACUGCGAAAGCAUUUGCCAAGAAUGUUUUCAUUAAUCAAGAACGAAAGUUAGAGGUUCGAAGGCGAUUAGAUACCGCCCUAGUUCUAACCAUAAACGAUGCCAGCUAGCGAUCUGCCGGUGCUUGAUUUUCUGGCCCGGCAGGCAGCUUCCGGGAAACCAAAGCUUGUGGGUUCCAGGGGAAGUAUGGUUGCAAAGCUGAAACUUAAAGGAAUUGACGGAAGGGCACCACCAGGAGUGGAGCCUGUGGCUUAAUUUGACACAACACGGGAAAUCUCACCAGGCCCGGACACCAGAAGGAUUGACAGAUUGAUAGCUCUUUCUUGAUUUGGUGGGUGGUGGUGCAUGGCCGUUCUUAGUUGGUGGAGUGAUUUGUCUGGUUAAUUCCGAUAACGAACGAGACUCUGUCCUGUUAAAUAGAUCCAACCUAGU
rnacentral:rRNA from 1 species